AUACGCGAGUUCUACGCAGUCAAUCUAAAGUCGAUUUGUUGAACUGAGACAGCACAUGCGGGUAUAGCGUCCUCUUAAGGUUAUUAGUUUUGUUUUUCUUUUAUUGUGGUAAAGGCAUCAACAAAACUAAUACCGUUGUAUCGUCAUUUAUUAACAGUUUUUUAAUUUUUAUGUCGAUCUGUCGGGUAUCUUUAAACAUUUUAAAAAUAAAGUAUCACUAAUUGGACAAACUCGCAUCUUCCAUAGUACAAAGUAAACAAUUCGGAUCAUU